UAUUGCACAAUGGGGGAAACCCUGAUGCAGCGACGCCGCGUGGGCGACGAAGCGCUCCGGCGCGUAAAGCCCUGUCAGCAGGGAAGAAAAAAGACAGUACCUGACCAAGAAGCCCCGGCUAACUACGUGCCAGCAGCCGCGGUAAUACGUAGGGGGCAAGCGUUAUCCGGAUUCACUGGGCGUAAAGGGAGCGCAGGCGGCACGGCAAGUCUGGUGUGAAAGCCUGGGGCCCAACCCCGGGACUGCAUUGGAAACUGCCGGGCUGGAGUGCCGGAGGGGUAAGCGGAAUUCCUGGUGUAGCGGUGAAAUGCGCAGAUAUCAGGAAGAACACCGGUGGCGGAGGCGGCUUACUGGACGGCAACUGACGCUGAGGCUCGAAAGCGUGGGGAGCAAACAGGA
rnacentral:rRNA from 1 species